AAUAUUGGACAAUGGGGGCAACCCUGAUCCAGCCAUGCCGCGUGUGUGAAGAAGGUCUUCGGAUUGUAAAGCACGUUAAGUUGGGAGGAAGGGCUUUAGGCUAAUACCCUGAAGUUUUGACGUUACCAACAGAAUAAUAACAUGAUAACUCUAGUCCAUCAGCCGCGGUAAUACGAAGGGUGCAAGCGUUAAUCGGAAUUACUGGGCGUAAAGCGUGUGUAGGCGGUUCGGAAAGCAAGAUGUGAAAUCCCAGGGCUCAACCUGGGAACUGCAUCCAAAACUGGCGAGCUAGAGUAGGGCAGAGGGUGGUGGAAUUUCCUGUGUAGCGGUGAAAUGCGUAGAUAUAGGAAGGAACACCAGUGGCGAAGGCGACUACCUGGACUGAUACUGACACUGAGGUGCGAAAGCGUGGGGAGCAAAC
rnacentral:rRNA from 1 species